UGAGGCUCGACGGAACGUUAUUUUGACCCCAGUAUUGGCAUAGUUGUGGUGUACAAGGCUAUUGAAGUGAAUGAGGUAAUGGUUGGAAGAGGCAUCGCUUGAAAGGAGCCUACUGGUGAUGCGGAAAUGUGGAGGAGACUACCGUUGUGAUGGGACCAGUGGUGGACCGAUGAAUCAAGUCUUAGACGAUGCAGAGCAGAAGUGUUAUUGAAUGAGGGAAUGGUUGGACGAUGAGGCAUCGCAUGAAAUGAGGCGACUGGGGAGUUAGGAAUGUGGAGGAGAGACCCCCAUUGUGAUGGAACGAGUGUUGACCGAUGAUUGAAGUGGGACAGUGUUGAGCCGAAGGUGGUGGUAGAUGUCCCGGUUGAGGUAGAUGUGGUACUUGAGUUAGCAGAUAUGGAGGUGAGAGGUUUGAGUACCUUAGAAGUGGACAACAUGGUGUGUAGGGACAGAGCUGCAAGUGUUGACGUGUUCCAUACAAGAUUGAGGAGAUCAUGUUUGAUUGGUAGAGGAAAUCCGACCCAGCGGACUUUGACGUACAAGGGAAGCAGAGGCUGAUGUGCAAGAAGUGUUGAAGACAAGGAUCACGCGACCCACACCGUGACGAACAGAACUGAAAGGAGUUGAGAUUGGGCAAGAUAUGAAGUAUCAUUCACGAUGACCCUUCUAUUUAAUGUAUGUGUACACUAGUAAAGGUGGAUGUGAAUUGAAAUAUCGAGUUUAAAUAGCAUUUUUAUGGUGGAAGGGGAAAGUGUUUUGUUUUAAAGUAGAGAUCAUAAUGUAGUAGUAGUGAGGGGGAAUAAUGUGUUUCUUUUGGUUAAGUAGUAUCUCCUGAAACAGUGUUGCCAUGAUAGAGUUGGCAAAAUGUCUUGGUGGUGAAACCCCCUCACUGUUUGGGUCGUUACCCCCAUUAGGGUGUGUGUUUGGCUUCUGGCGGAGUGAUGUUCCAUGGGUCAGUCCUCUGUUUUUCAGCUUUAUGCUCCUGCUGCUGCCUUUACCAAUGUUGCCAGGCCCCUUUUCCUUUUACUCGUUUAAUUCACCCCCCCCCCCUGUUGUCCUAUCAAACUCAUUUGCUGGCGAGCUUUUGCCUGUUAUGAUUGUUUGUACCUUUGGUAUGGUGGUUAAGGAGGCAUACUCUUGCACCCGUAGAAGUGUAGUACCCAACGUCUGGAGCGAGAGGACCGUUUUAUUGUCAAUCGUCGUUUCGUCAGUGAACCGGCUCUGGACGGACUGAGGGUUGUUAAGGUGUUGUUUGUGGGACGUAUACUGACGACUCACCCCUGGGGUGGCCCUGGAAGAUCGGCGAUAGCUUGUUUGGUGUCCUGCCAGUAAGUGUGGGUCCAUGGUGGUUGUGGGGGCACAUUCGUGAAUGAAAGUUUUAACUGGUUUUCAUUGCUGAUAAUGUGUCGUUUGUAGUUUGUGAGGGUGGUUGGCUGGGGGACGAAGCACCCGAGUGUGAGUGUUGUAAGACGAGGCGGUUUUACUGUGAAGCGGGUAGUUCUUCGUCCCUCUGUCACUUUAUGGUCAUGGCGUUGAUUACAAAGAUUUCAGGAAUGUAUUAUUUCUUGACAGUCGUUUGUGUUGGUCGUCCGAUGUUUCUUAGGUCCGUGUUGAAUGCUAUAAGGGCCUUAACCUACUUCAGGUGUUGAAUCAUACUUGUUUUGGAUGAGAUAGACGAGCGCUCGUGUAUAAGCUUGAAUAUGGUUUGCGUGCGUACUGUUGUGCUUCAAAUGUUGGGCGUUUGGACCAUAGUGGGUAGUGCCUCAGCUGUGGUUUUUUUCGUUCAACUCGUAGCCUCAAGUUGUACGCUGAUACUGUCUGUGCAUAAUUGCCGUGAUCGCUAUCUUGUGGGAUCGUUAAAGCAUCCUCACUCGCCUGUAUCGUGCUUUGACUUGUACCCCUCCUGUAGUUCGUGUUCCUCUUCAUCACGUUGCUGUUUGUUACAAGAAUGUGUUGUGGUUAUUGUUAGUAAUGUUUGUCGUAUUGUUUUGUCGUUGCCCCCGUGGAGGGUGGCCGUUCCCCAAUUGCGUACAUAUGUGAAGCGCAUUACUAAAAUGUUGACCCCUCCUACAUAUGUGAAAUUGGUCUUCGUUAAGCACUUAUCUUGUCAUUCACACUCCGUUCCCAUGUUCAGGACUGGGUGUAUGUGUGGUGACAUUGUUGGUUAGUUUGUUGUUUUUCGUGAGUAGACUUGUGUGGUUUUGAGGUCGUUUAAUCGGGUCCAACCGGUGGUCAUUGAGAAUGAACAUUUGGUGAUUGUUAUCUCUAGUAAAUAUAAGCGUUUCGUUUUGGUUGGUUCCCAGGCAUGUUCGUGUGUGCUGGAUGUUGUGAAUGAAACAUUUACAAAGAUGAUAAUGUAAAGGUAUUAAAGGAAUAUAAUUUGUAAAUCACUAUUGAAGGUUGUUGUUUGUAAAUGGAAUUGAGGAAGAGGUUGUCAUUGUUUGACGUAGAAGUGUGCACGAACAAGAAAUGAGGAGAAACAAGUAGUUUGACGUAGUUAAGAACAGGUUUGGUAAUGUGCAAAUGUGAUAUAUAGGCAAAGCAUAAACAAGCAAUAACGUAAAGAAUAUGUAAUGGUUUGGGCGAGUUUGAGGAAGAAAAUAAUGUAAAUAUUGUAGAGUCAAAAGUAAAUGUUAUUAAACAAUAACACUGGAAAUGUACAAUUAGAGUUGACUUGAAGUAUGUAAAUAUAUAAUUGUUUGAAAUGUAUAAAUGAAAAAAUAUAAUUGUUUAUGUAAGAAAUGUUAUGGAACAAUCAAUAAAAUAUUGAAUGUGAAUACAAAUAGUUGUAUCUGAAAGUGAUAGUUUAAAUGUCAGUAUUGAAUAAUAUUGAGUUGUAUUAAAGUUAGUCCCAAUUUAAUAAUAUUUAAUGAAGAUGAAAAAGGUAAGUAAUACACUUCUUUGUUAAAUAGUAAAGAUGGUUGAAUAGUGAAUAUAAUGGCCAAAUGUG